rnacentral:tRNA from 1 species
AGUUCUAUAGUAAAUUUUAUACUAGAUUGCAAAUCUAGAGAUGUGUUUAGAAACACUAGAACUU